GCCUGGAUGGCUGAGUUGGUUAAGCAUCUGACUUUGGCUCAGGUCACGAUCUCACGUUUCAUGGGUUCAAGCCCCAUGUCCGGCU
rnacentral:tRNA from 1 species